rnacentral:rRNA from 1 species
AUUGAACGCUGGCGGCAUGCCUUACACAUGCAAGUCGAACGGCAGCGCGGGAGCAAUCCUGGCGGCGAGUGGCGAACGGGUGAGUAAUAUAUCGGAACGUGCCCAGUAGUGGGGGAUAGCCCGGCGAAAGCCGGAUUAAUACCGCAUACGACCUGAGGGUGAAAGCGGGGGAUCGCAAGACCUCGCGCUAUUGGAGCGGCCGAUAUCAGAUUAGCUAGUUGGUGGGGUAAAGGCCUACCAAGGCAACGAUCUGUAGUUGGUCUGAGAGGACGACCAGCCACACUGGGACUGAGACACGGCCCAGACUCCUACGGGAGGCAGCAGUGGGGAAUUUUGGACAAUGGGCGCAAGCCUGAUCCAGCAAUGCCGCGUGCAGGAAGAAGGCCCUAUGGGUCGUAAACUGCUUUUGAACGAGAGAAAACCCGAGUACGUGUACUCGGCUGAUAGUAUCGUUAGAAUAAGCAUCGGCUAACUUCGUG